rnacentral:rRNA from 1 species
AUUGAACGCUGGCGGCGUGCCUAACACAUGCAAGUCGAGCGGUAACAGGUGUAGCAAUACAUGCUGACGAGCGGCGGACGGGUGAGUAACGCUUGGGAAUCUGCCUGAUAGUGGGGGACAACCCGGGGAAACUCGGGCUAAUACCGCAUACGCACUACGGUGGAAAGCCGGGGACCGCAAGGCCUGGCGCUAACAGAUGAGCCCAAGUCGGAUUAGCUAGUUGGUAGGGUAACGGCCUACCAAGGCGACGAUCCGUAACUGGUCUGAGAGGACGACCAGUCACACCGGAACUGAGACACGGUCCGGACUCCUACGGGAGGCAGCAGUGGGGAAUAUUGGACAAUGGGCGAAAGCCUGAUCCAGCGACGCCGCGUGGGUGAAGAAGGCCUGCGGGUUGUAAAGCCCUUUCGGUGGGGAAGAAAAGCCUCGAGUUAACACCUCGGGGUCUUGACGUAACCCAUAGAAGAAGCACCGGCUAACUCUGUGCCAGCAGCCGCGGUAAUACAGAGGGUGCGAGCGUUAAUCGGAAUUACUGGGCGUAAAGCGCGCGUAGGCGGCUUUGCAAGUCGGGUGUGAAAUCCCCAGGCUUAACCUGGGAACUGCAUUCGAGACUGCAUUGC